GCGGAGGAAAAGAAACCAACAGGGAUUACCUCAGUAACGGCGAGUGAAGCGGUAACAGCUCAAAUUUGAAAUCUGGGUCUUUCAGGCUCCGAGUUGUAAUUUGUAGAAGAUGCUUCGGGUGCGGCUCCGGUCUAAGUUCCUUGGAACAGGACGUCAUAGAGGGUGAGAAUCCCGUAUGUGAUCGGCCGCUUGCGCCCAUGUGAAGCUCUUUCGACGAGUCGAGUUGUUUGGGAAUGCAGCUCCAAAUGGGUGGUAUAUUUCAUCUAAAGCUAAAUAUUGGCCAGAGACCGAUAGCGCACAAGUAGAGUGAUCGAAAGAUGAAAAGCACUUUGGAAAGAGAGUUAAACAGUACGUGAAAUUGUUGAAAGGGAAGCGCUUGCAACCAGACUUGCGUGUUGUUGAUCAUCCGGGGUUCUCCCCGGUGCACUCGACCUCACUCAGGCCAGCAUCGGUUUCGGUGGUUGGAUAAAGGCCUUGGGAAUGUAGCUCCUCUCGGGGAGUGUUAUAGCCCUCGGUGCAAUGCAGCCUACCGGGACCGAGGACCGCGCUUCGGCUAGGAUGCUGGCGUAAUGGUUGUAAGCGACCCGUCUUGAAACACGGACCAAGGAGUCUAACAUCUAUGCGAGUGUUUGGGUGUCAAACCCAUACGCGUAAUGAAAGUGAACGGAGGUGAGAACCCUUAAGGGUGCAUCAUCGACCGAUCCUGAUGUCUUCGGAUGGAUUUGAGUAAGAGCAUAGCUGUUGGGACCCGAAAGAUGGUGAACUAUGCCUGAAUAGGGUGAAGCCAGAGGAAACUCUGGUGGAGGCUCGCAGCGGUUCUGACGUGCAAAUCGAUCGUCAAAUUUGGGUAUAGGGGCGAAAGACUAAUCGAACCAUCUAGUAGCUGGUUCCUGC
rnacentral:rRNA from 1 species